GCGGGUUUAGCUCAGUUGGGAGAGCGUCAGACUGAAGUCAACUUCUAUCACCUGGUGUUAAUCUGAAGGUCGUGUGUUCGAUCCACACAAACCGCA